rnacentral:rRNA from 1 species
AACGAACGCUGGCGGCAUGCCUAACACAUGCAAGUCGAACGAGACCUUCGGGUCUAGUGGCGCACGGGUGCGUAACGCGUGGGAACCUGCCCUUAGGUUCGGAAUAACUCCCCGAAAGGGGUGCUAAUACCGGAUAAUGUCUUCGGACCAAAGAUUUAUCGCCUUUGGAUGGGCCCGCGUUGGAUUAGCUGGUUGGUAGGGUAAAAGCCUACCAAGGCGGCGAUCCAUAGCUGGUCUGAGAGGAGGAUCAGCCACACUGGGACUGGGACACGGCCCAGACCCCAGCGGAAGGGAGAAGGGGGGAAAAAGGGAAAAGGGGCGAAAGCCGAACCCGCCAGGCCCGGGGAGAUGAUGAAGGCUUUAGGAUGUAAAAGCCCUUUUACCCGGGAUGAAAAGACCGUAACCGGAAAAAAAGCCCCGGCUAACCCCGGG